AGCAGCCGCGGUAAUUCCAGCUCCAAUAGCGUAUAUUAAAGUUGUUGCAGUUAAAAAGCUCGUAGUUGAAUUUCGGGAUCAAUUAAUUGGUCGUGCCUCUGGUACGUACUGGUUUUAUUGGUUUCUCCCUUCUGACGAACCAUGAUGUCAUUAAUUUGGUGUCGUGGAGAAUCAGGACUGUUACUUUGAAAAAAUUAGAGUGUUUAAAGCAAGCUAACGCUUGAAUACAUUAGCAUGGAAUAAUGAAAUAGGACGUUUGAUCCUAUUUUGUUGGUUUCUAGGAUUGACGUAAUGAUUAAUAGGGAUAGUUGGGGGCAUUAGUAUUCAAUUGUCAGAGGUGAAAUUCUUGGAUUUAUUGAAGACUAACUACUGCGAAAGCAUUUGCCAAGGAUGUUUUCAUUAAUCAAGAACGAAAGUUAGGGGAUCGAAGACGAUCAGAUACCGUCGUAGUCUUAACCAUAAACUAUGCCGACUAGGGAUCGGAUGAUGUUAAUUUUUUAAUGACUCAUUCGGCGCCUUACG
rnacentral:rRNA from 1 species